rnacentral:rRNA from 1 species
UACACCCGCAGCACGAGUAGUGGUCACUUUUAUUGAGCCUAAAGCGUUCGUAGCCGGUUUUGUAAAUCUUCAGAUAAAGCCUGAAGCUUAACUCCAGAAAGUCUGAAGAGACUGCAAGACUUGAGAUCGGGUGAGGUUAAACGUACUUUCAGGGUAGGGGUAAAAUCCUGUAAUCCCGGAAGGACGACCAGUGGCGAAAGCGUUUAACUAGAACGAAUCUGACGGUAAGGAACGAAGGCUAGGGUAGCAAACCGGAUUAGAUACCCGGGUAGUCCUAGCUGUAAACAUUGCCCAUUUGAUGUUGCUUUUCCGUUGAGGGAAGGCAGUGUCGGAGCGAAGGUGUUAAAUGGGCCGCUUGGGAAGUAUGGUCGCAAGACUGAAACUUAAAGGAAUUGGCGGGGGAGCACCGCAACGGGAGGAAUGUGCGGUUUAAUUGGAUUCAACGCCGGAAAACUCACCGGGAACGACCUGUGCAUGAGAGUCAACCUGACGAGCUUACUCGAUAGCAGGAGAGGUGGUGCAUGGCCGUCGUCAGCUCGUACCGUAGGGCGUUCACUUAAGUGUGAUAACGAGCGAGACCCACAUCUUUAAUUGGCAAUGUAUAUGAGAAUAUGCAUGCACUUU